rnacentral:lncRNA from 1 species
CACAGUAGUAUAAAAUUAGGAUAUUAAUCAUUAAUUGGCAGUUAUUACAAAAUUUAACCAUAGUAGAGUUUGUACUGAUUAGAUUAUUUGGAUUACAGAUUUAAUUCCCUACGUAAUUGAUUAGUAUGAUUAGUACCAUUCUAUUUUGUUUAAAUAAGUAGUAAGAAUAGUAAAACCUGUCUUAACUUAAAUCAAGCUGUAACGAUCAUAGAAAGCAUCACUUUAUUAUCUUUUGCUGAGGAACUUUUUAAGAAAGGCCUCCUUUUGUACUUAAGAGAAGAUCCCUACUCUAUUUGAAGACAUACCUGUAGUUGAAAAUUGGCUUGCUCUUUUAGAUAAUAUCGAGAAAGAAAAACUCACAUGGUCUUUUCUGAAACAAAAGAUUGGUCAGCUCAGUAAUAGGAGGACACUAGUGAAAACAUAAAUCUUGCCUCCUUACAAGAACUUUAGCUUGGAUACAUGAAAAUAACAACACUAUUACUAGGGAAGAUAAGAAUAAGAGAAUAGUACUUCUUAGUAGAGAACUUACGAUGCCUUCCUUGAAAAUUAUCUCGUCCAAACUAAUGCUGAAGAAUUGAAAGGUGAUCCAACAUCUAAGCUGACCUAUAAAUUAAACAGAUUAACCCAUCAUAAAAUGUUCCCAAACUGUUGCAAACACAAGAAAGUAGCUGCAACCAAGCUGUUCCAACUUAUCCUAGGCUUUUUUCCUUUAUUAAAACCCACAAGGACCUGCUCUCGUCAAGACCAAUUGUAGAGGAAAGGACUUCUACAUAUAAUUUAGAAAAGACUAUGGCUAAAUGGUGUAACAUAUUUUUAAGUGAAACUGACAGCUCUACCAUGAUAAAUUCAUCAAUGCUUAGGAGACUACCUGACAUACAUCCUAAAAACGAAGAGGGCAACUUUUUCACAAUAUAUGACUUUGAUAGCCUUUACUCUUCCUUCUGUUUAGAACCCGCUGGCCUUGUUUUUUAUAGGUUUUUAUUUAAAAUAUACUACAGUCGAAUGUUAUGGUUGACUUAUUGAGGGACAUAGCACAUUUAAUUUGCUAUAACUUUUAUUACAUUUUCAAGGGUAGAAUAUAUUAGCAGGCAAUAGGGUGCCCAUAAGAAAUCUAAUGGUAGAUCCACUUGCAGCAAUCUUAUUAAGAUUUGUAGAACAGUCCUUUUUCCAACUUUCCAACCUGUUCUGAAGUUCUGUAUCAGAUUUGUAGAUGACAUCUUUG